UCCCUUGUGGCUCAGACAUUAAAGCAUCUGCCUGCAGCGCGGAAGACCCAGGUUUGAUCCCUGGGUUGGGAA
rnacentral:tRNA from 1 species